UACGGAGGGUGCGAGCGUUAUUCGGAAUUACUGGGCGUAAAGCGCGCGUAGGCGGCAGGGCAAGUCUGGUGUGAAAGCCCGGGGCUCAACCCCGGAAGUGCAUUGGAAACUGCUCAGCUUGAGUACCGGAGAGGAAGGGGGAAUUCCCGGUGUAGCGGUGAAAUGCGUAGAUAUCGGGAGGAAUACCAGUGGCGAAGGCGGCCUUCUGGACGGUUACUGACGCUGAGACGCGAAAGCGUGGGGAGCAAACAGG
rnacentral:rRNA from 1 species